rnacentral:rRNA from 1 species
CAUCUUUUCUUGUUAGUUUUUGAAGUAUGGCCUGCCCACUGACUUAGAGUUGAAGGGCCGCGGUAUUUUGACCGUGCAAAGGUAGCAUAAUCAUUAGUUCUUUAAUUGUGAUCUGGUAUGAAUGGCUUGACGAGACAUAAGCUGUCUUAGAAGUAUUGAUUUAUUGAAUUUGGUUUUUGAGUUAAAAUUCUUAAAUGUUUUUAUGGGACGAGAAGACCCUAUAGAGUUUGACAAUUUUCCUAUUUAUUCAUUGUUUGUUUAUUUACAUUGAGUGGGAGUGAAUUGUUUUGUUGGGGUGAUGGGAGGAAUAUUGUUUAACUCCUCUUUGUUUUUAUAUAUUUAUGUAUAUAUUUUUGAUCCAUUUAUUUUGAUUAUAAGAUUAAAUUACCUUA